UGGGCACUUGAACCCGGAAAACCGAAUCCGACCCGGACCCGUCCCGAAAAUUGCCGGGACGGGACGGUUUCAAAACUUAAUUUUUCACUGUUUGGGCCCGUCCCGUUUUAACGGGACGGGCUUCGGUUUGGGUCGCUGGAAUCCCGCAAAGACCCGUCCCGUCCCGAAGUAUUAAAACUCAUUUUGUUUAUUUGUUUUUUAGUUUGACACUUUGACCUAGCAGAUAACUCUCGACCUCUUGUUCAUUCCUCUCGACCUCUCGUUCUAUCGUUCACAAUCCACAAGCCAGUGAGACACCGAUCAACAAUAACCGAGUGAGACACCGAUCAAUUCACCUCCAUCAAGGCACAAGACCGAGUGAUCUGCAAUUCACCUCUAUCAAUUCAGCUCAUAAGCAUCACCGACACCGAGAGUCUGAGAGUGAAGCUGUGGUGGCGGACGCGAUAUGAGACAGUGAGACACCAAUCGAUUGCAAUUUCCCAAAGUUCCUGGUCAGCAAUUUCAGUUCACCGAUCGAAUAUCUGGGAUCGAUUGCUCUCCAGCCUCUCCUUUGCACUCCAGCCUCUCCUCCUUUGCUCUCUUCCAUAUUCUGGCCUUCUGGGUUCUAUUCUUCAACCUUCAGUCGAAGUCUUGCUUGGACGCUUGGUAAGUUGCUGCUUUGCUGGGUAUUUAUUUAUUCUGGGUUGCUCUUGUUUUGCCGUUUUGGAUGAUAAUUUACCAGUGAUCUAAUGUUCUUACAGUUUCUGCUUAGUAAUGAUCUGAAAGUAACUUUGUAAUAUCUGAAUUUAUUUUUCAAAAGUUUGAGAAUGAUUACUGUGAUGUGAUGAAUUUUGAUAUAUGCUGGUAACUCGAUCUGUAAACCUUCAUAUAGGGAUAGCUUCGUUCUCUGUUUGAUUACUCAUAUUCAUAAACUUUUUUCUGAAAUCAAUUGUCAUGAUAUUGUGUAUGGAUAUUUCAACAAAGUUCAUGGACAAUCAAAGCAAGAAAAUCAUACACAAGUUGCUAACUUUGAUGGAUCAUAGAGAUUUUUGAUUCUGAAAACUUAUCCAUUUUUGAUUCUGUACUAAUUCUGUACUAAUGUGUUUCUUUUGAGUGAGAUUCUUAUAUUAAUUAAUAGGAGGUGUGGUGUACUAAUGUGUUUCUUUUGAGUGAGAUUCUUAUAUUAAUUAAUAGGAGGUGUGGAACUGUGAAUACCAUAUAUCGAUGUGUUUUGGAAAUGGAAUUUUAUUAGAAGCUAAAUUAUUGGAGGUGUUAUGUUGGUGUUAUGUAUUUAAUUGCAGUUGCAAUAUUAGUUCUAAGAAACAAUUAAUGAGAUAUCAUGAUUCAUGGCAGUUUAUGAAGACGUUGAGCAAGGUAUGAACUGUUGUAGUUUUUACAUGUGUUUGACUGUUUUCAGUAUUUCCAGUGCAUUGGCAUUUACUAACUCUUUUUUUUUUUAGAGCAUGAAAGCACUGCAUCUAGCAAAACCAAUGUAUGUCCAGCUCCAAAUCCAAGAGCAAAAGGCAAGGGAAAGCUUGGGGCAGCUAGUAAUGUGAUAGAUGUUUGAACUUUGUUCAAUUCCUUUUAGUUGUGUGCACAUUUUCAAUGAAGUGGCAGAUUGUGAACUGUAAUGGAUUAUUAAAUUAUGCAGAUUUGGUCUUCUUUCA